rnacentral:rRNA from 1 species
AGCCUACGGGAGGCAGCAGUGAGGAAUAUUGGUCAAUGGACGAGAGUCUGAACCAGCCAAGUCGCGUGAAGGAUGACUGCCCUAUGGGUUGUAAACUUCUUUUAUAUGGGAGUAAAAUGUUCCACGUGUGGGAUUUUGUAUGUACCAUAUGAAUAAGGAUCGGCUAACUCCGUGCCAGCAGGCGCGGUAAUACGGCGGAUCCGGGCGUUAUCCGGAUUUAUUGGGGUUAAAGGGAGCGUAGGUGGGAUGUUAAGUCAGUUGUGAAAGUUUACGGCUCAACAGUAUACUUGCAGUUGAAACUGGCG